rnacentral:rRNA from 1 species
UACGUAGGUGGCAAGCGUUGUCCGGAUUUAUUGGGUUUAAAGGGUGCGUAGGCGGUUCCUUAAGUCAGUGGUGAAAUACGGCAGCUCAACUGUCGAGGUGCCAUUGAUACUGGGGAACUUGAGUACUGAUGAGGUAGGCGGAAUGGACGGUGUAGCGGUGAAAUGCUUAGAUAUCGUCCAGAACACCGAUAGCGAAGGCAGCUUACUAAGGAGUAACUGACGCUGAUGCACGAAAGUGUGGGGAUCAAACAGG